GGGAGAGUGGCCGAGUGGUUAAAAGCGAUAGACUGUAAAUCUAUUUUCUUAAGAAUACGUAGGUUCGAAUCCUUCCUCUCCCA
rnacentral:tRNA from 1 species